UGGGGAAUUUUGGACAAUGGGCGCAAGCCUGAUCCAGCAAUGCCGCGUGCAGGAUGAAGGCCUUCGGGUUGUAAACUGCUUUUGUACGGAACGAAACGGCUCUGUCUAAUACAUGGGGCUAAUGACGGUACCGGGGGAGGAAGCCACGGCUAACUACGUGCCAGCAGCCGCGGUAAUACGUAGGGUGCAAGCGUUAAUCGGAAUUACUGGGCGUAAAGCGUGCGCAGGCGGUUAUGUAAGACAGAUGUGAAAUCCCCGGGCUCAACCUGGGACCUGCAUUUGUGACUGCAUAGCUGGAGUACGGUAGAGGGGGAUGGAAUUCCGCGUGUAGCAGUGAAAUGCGUAGAUAUGCGGAGGAACACCGAUGGCGAAGGCAAUCCCCUGGACCUGUACUGACGCUCAUGCACGAAAGCGUGGGGAGCAAACA
rnacentral:rRNA from 1 species